UACGUAGGGUGCGAGCGUUGUCCGGAAUUAUUGGGCGUAAAGGGCGCGUAGGCGGUCGUGCAAGUGGAAGGUGAAAUCCCUCGGCUCAACCGAGGAACUGCCUUUCAAACUGCAUGACUUGAGUCCGGGAGAGGUGAGUGGAAUUCCCAGUGUAGCGGUGAAAUGCGUAGAUAUUGGGAGGAACACCAGUGGCGAAGGCGGCUCACUGGACCGGAACUGACGCUGAGGCGCGAAAGCGUGGGGAGCAAACGGG
rnacentral:rRNA from 1 species